rnacentral:rRNA from 1 species
CCUACGGGAGGCAGCAGUGGGGAAUUUUGGACAAUGGGCGCAAGCCUGAUCCAGCAAUGCCGCGUGAGUGAAGAAGGCCUUCGGGUUGUAAAGCUCUUUUGUCAGGGAAGAAACGGUGGGGGCUAAUAUCCUUUGCUAAUGACGGUACCUGAAGAAUAAGCACCGGCUAACUACGUGCCAGCAGCCGCGGUAAUACGUAGGGUGCAAGCGUUAAUCGGAAUUACUGGGCGUAAAGCGUGCGCAGGCGGUUUUGUAAGUUUGUCGUGAAAUCCCCGGGCUCAACCUGGGAAUGGCGAUGAAGACUGCAAGGCUAGAAUCUGGCAGAGGGGGGUAGAAUUCCACGUGUAGCAGUGAAAUGCGUAGAGAUGUGGAGGAACACCGAUGGCGAAGGCAGCCCCCUGGGUCAAGAUUGACGCUCAUGCACGAAAGCGUGGGGAGCAAACAGGAUUAGAUACCCUGGUAGUCCACGCCCUAAACGAUGUCUACUAGUUGUCGGGUUUUAAUUAACUUGGUAACGCAGCUAACGCGUGAAGUAGACCGCCUGGGGGAGGUACGGUCGCGAGAAUAAACUUAACUAAGAGUAGUAGACGNGUGAGAGUCGACGACGACGACGACGGAGGAGGAG